rnacentral:rRNA from 1 species
GGGGAAUAUUGGACAAUGGGCGCAAGCCUGAUCCAGCAAUGCCGCGUGAGUGAUGAAGGCCUUAGGGUUGUAAAGCUCUUUUACCCGGGAUGAUAAUGACAGUACCGGGAGAAUAAGCCCCGGCUAACUCCGUGCCAGCAGCCGCGGUAAUACGGAGGGGGCUAGCGUUGUUCGGAAUUACUGGGCGUAAAGCGUACGUAGGCGGCUUUGUAAGUUAGAGGUGAAAGCCUGGAGCUCAACUCCAGAACUGCCUUUAAGACUGCAUCGCUUGAAUCCAGGAGAGGUGAGUGGAAUUCCGAGUGUAGAGGUGAAAUUCGUAGAUAUUCGGAAGAACACCAGUGGCGAAGGCGGCUCACUGGACUGGGAUUGACGCUGAGGUACGAAAGCGUGGGGAGCAAAC